rnacentral:rRNA from 1 species
UACCUACGGGAGGCAGCAGUAGGGAAUCUUCGGCAAUGGGCGAAAGCCUGACCGAGCAACGCCGCGUGAAUGAAGAAGGCCUUCGGGUUGUAAAAUUCUGUUAUAAGGGAAGAAAGGUGAUAGGAGGAAAUGACUAUCAAUUGACGGUACCUUAUGAGAAAGCCACGGCUAACUACGUGCCAGCAGCCGCGGUAAUACGUAGGUGGCAAGCGUUAUCCGGAUUUAUUGGGUUUAAAGGGUGCGUAGGCGGUUUUUUAAGUUAGUGGUUAAACGUCGGGGCUUCACCUUGAUUUGCCAUUAAUACU